rnacentral:lncRNA from 1 species
CAACAGCAGAACCACCCAUUCCUCUCGGUUCAUGUCUGCAGGAAACAUGAUAAAAACCUUCACCAAAAAAUAAAUAAGGAGGCAGGACUUGCCAGCUUGUUAUUUCACACAACAGCCAUGCCACAGAGGUGCUGGCUAGGAUCAUGUCCUUGAUGACUGGGGCAGUGCAAGAACAUGGAAGGAGAAAGAUGGCAUCUACCCUGAACUGGUUCUCACUCCGUAUUUUGGAGCCAGGCACCCAAAGUUUUGUUCAGAGCAGGGAAAUAGGAAGACAAACAGACUAGAGGUAAGCUGUGCUCCUCCUUCAGAGCUUUGCUCUGUUCCGGAAUAUCUGACUGCAGGCAACUAAAACUGGCCUUUUGCUCUUUGGCACUGUUUUUUGCUUCAUAUUCUUAUCCGGGUAACUGGUAACUGAGCACACUACAAAAGUUCCUGCCUUCCCUACCCACCUCUUUCAAGUAUGGCAAUUCACUCAAAGGCCAGGUCUGGAUCCUCACUCAGGAUAGGUCACUGCUUCCAGGAAAUUCAUUACUUCCAUCAAAGCUGCCCUGGUAGCAAGUUUAAUGAAUGAACGAUGCCCCGAGGAGAAAGAAGAGGAGCACAGUAUCACUCAGACAAGCGAAAGUUUGGCAUGGAGUGCCCACCCCACCCUGCUGGCUGAAACACCAGUCCCCUCCCAGGGGUGCAAGGAUCCUCCUGCAUGCUCUGCACCUCCUUCUGACUGGCAGGCUAUGGCUUUCUCUUCUCCGGGGCUUCCUAAACAGCAGGAUGCUGGUGCCUCCACUUCUCCAGGGGACACCUUCCCAGUGCCCUGGGCUUGGAGCAGCCACAAAGACAACCGUCAUUACUCAGCAACCCAGCUUGCUCCCAAACCCUGGAAACCAUCUGGAAAGAAAAAAGUUGGGACAGUGGACUCCACACCAGGUGUUGCUUCUAGCACCAGCCAGAGCCACCCUACUUGCCUCCCUCUUUCCAGAGGACACAAGGGUGUGAUGCACACUGCCCAUGGUUAA